rnacentral:pre_miRNA from 1 species
AAAUUACUCCCUCCGUCCCAAAAUUCUUGUCUUAGAUUUGUCUAGAUAUGGAUGUAUCAAGUCACAUUUUAGUAUUAGAUACAUCCGUAUCUAGACAAAUCUAAGACAAGAAAUUUGGGAUAGAGGGAGUAGUUG